UACGUAGGUGGCAAGCGUUGUCCGGAUUUAUUGGGCGUAAAGCGAGCGCAGGCGGUUCCUUAAGUCUGAUGUGAAAGCCCCCGGCUCAACCGGGGAAGGUCAUUGGAAACUGGGGAACUUGAGUGCAGAAGAGGAGAGUGGAAUUCCAUGUGUAGCGGUGAAAUGCGUAGAUAUUGAGAAGAACACCAGUAGCGAAGGCGGCUUUCUGGACUGUAACUGACACUGAGGCACGAAAGCGUGGGUAGCAAACAGG
rnacentral:rRNA from 1 species